rnacentral:rRNA from 1 species
UACGUAGGGUGCGAGCGUUGUCCGGAAUUACUGGGCGUAAAGAGCUCGUAGGUGGUUUGUCGCGUUGUUCGUGAAAUCUCACGGCUUAACUGUGAGCGUGCGGGCGAUACGGGCAGACUAGAGUACUGCAGGGGAGACUGGAAUUCCUGGUGUAGCGGUGGAAUGCGCAGAUAUCAGGAGGAACACCGGUGGCGAAGGCGGGUCUCUGGGCAGUAACUGACGCUGAGGAGCGAAAGCGUGGGGAGCGAACAGGAUUAGAUACCCUGGUAGUCCACGCCGUAAACGGUGGGUACUAGGUGUGGGUUUCCUUCCUUGGGAUCCGUGCCGUAGCUAACGCAUUAAGUACCCCGCCUGGGGAGUACGGCCGCGAG